rnacentral:rRNA from 1 species
ACGCGAAGAACCUUACCCAGGCUUGAACAGCGAGUGACCACUCAUGAAAGUGAGCUUCCGCAAGGACACUCGUAGAGGUGCUGCAUGGCUGUCGUCAGCUCGUGUCGUGAGAUGUUGGGUUAAGUCCCGCAACGAGCGCAACCCUUGUUUGCUGUUGCCAUCAGGUUAUGCUGGGCACUCUGCAAAGACCGCCGGUGAUAAACCGGAGGAAGGUGGGGAUGACGUCAAGUCAGCAUGGCCUUUAUGUCUGGGGCUACACACGUGCUACAAUGGCCGGUACAAACCGUCGCGAGCCCGCGAGGGGGAGCUAAUCGGAAAAAGCCGGUCUCAGUUCGGAUAGCAGGCUGCAACUCGCCUGCUUGAAGUUGGAAUCGCUAGUAAUCGCGGAUCAGCACGCCGCGGUGAAUACGUUCCCGGGCCUUGUA